rnacentral:snRNA from 1 species
GAUCUCACUGCAGCGAGCACAUACACUAAAACUGAAACAAUACAGAGAAGGUUAGCAUGGCCCCUGUGCAAGGCUGACAUGGAGUAAGACCUAUGAUU